rnacentral:lncRNA from 1 species
UAUCGCCCCAUUUUUUUGAGCUCCAUUUUCAGCACUAACGGCCCUAUUUCCAGAGCUCCAUUUUCAGAGCUCUGACCCCAUUUUCAGCACUUAUGGCCCCAUUUUCUGAGCUCAGAGCCCCAUUUUCAGAGCUCCUGGCCCCAUUUUCAGCACUUAUGGUCCCAUUUUCAGCACUCUGAGCCCCAUUUUCAGCACUUCUGGCCCCAUUUUCAGAGCUCUGACUCCCAUUUUUAGAUCUUGCCCAAAAUUCAGAGUUCCUGGCCCCCAUUUUCAGCACUUAUUUCCCCAUUUUCAGCACUCUGACUCCCAUUUUCAGCACUUAAGCCCCAUUUUCAGCACUUGUGGCCCCAUUUUCAGCACUUAUGGCCCCAUUUUCAGCGCUUGUGGACCCAUUUUCAGAGAUCAUUGCCCCAUUUUCAGAACUCAGAGACCCAUUUUCAGAGCUCAGAGCCCUAUUUUCAACACUUGGAGCCCCAUUUUCAGACUUUGUGAU